UGUCCAGGGGCAGAGAAGGGGGUUUCUCACAAUUUAAUGUACAGCCAGAAAGUCGUGGAUAACAUAGAAGGGGAAAUGUCUGUCACUUCAAUUUGUAGACAAGUUCGUAGCAGCUCUUUCAAAAAGGGAGGAGACUAGAGACCAACGAUCCUGGCCAAGAGAGAUAAGAAAGCCAAGGCCCAGAGAAAUUAAGUGAUUUCUCCAGGAUUCACAGGCAGGAAUCACAGACCAGCUACCUACGGAGUCAUUUUAAGAUACCCCAACAAGGCGUUUUCCAACUAGAUUCUUUAACAAAACAAACAAAACAAUAAGAAUGGGGGAACAAGAAAACAAGAGUAGCCAGAAGUGGAGGUGAGGAUGAUGGUAAAACAAUGUUUGACACCAUUUUCAUCAAUCGGAAGAUGUAGGAUGGAGCAAAGCUAGGAUGCUAUUCUAACUCAAGUACUGAGUUACGAGGACCCCCCCAAAAAGAACAGAACCCCUAUAUGGACAGUGACUACAUUUCACCUGAAUUUCUGUGAUCUGGGAUCCCUAAAAAUGACAGGAAGGGCUAGGAGGGUUUCUAAAGAAAGCAGGCUGUUAAAUUACAUUACUUCCUAAACUAACACAAAAUCAAAUUGAAAAAGAAUCAGAAGAAUUUCCAGUCAAGAUGGCACAGUGAAUUCAUGCUUCAAUUCAUCCUUUAUGCUCUAAAUACAUGGUAAUGACAGAUAAAAUAGAAAAAGAGAAAACCAAAAGGUCAUUGCUGGGCUCAGAAAACAAGAUAAACAUCUUUGUGGACCAGAAACACAACAGAAAUGCCAAGCAAUGAGCUGGGUUAAAGCUGCAGCCUAUCAGGGUCUGGGUUUUGAAGCAGCUGUGGCAACUGGAAAUUCAGCUCCGGUGGAAUACUGGGGCUAAAAUGCUCUACUUAAGGUGGAGACAAAAGCCAGCAUCUUUACUGAAAGCCAGGAACUGGGGCAGAUCGUCCAUCUUGUUUUUCCCAGGACUCUCUGUGUCUUGGCUCCAAAAAUUCCAAGUCCCAGGAAACUCCUUAGUUCCAGGCAAACAGCAGUGAUUGGUCACCCGACUUUCCCCAGCUCCAUGAAAGGAUGCUGAAUAAAACUACUGCCAAUAUACUGCCUGGAGCUGUGGAUUUAUGGGAAGCAGUAGACCCAUGAAAGCAAAAGGACAAAAGAAAAACAUCACUACAGCAAAUGAACUGAGAUACCAGCUGGCUCAGUUACUUGAUUAGCCAUAUUCCUAAUAUUGAUAAGGAGAAGGAGCCCUCUGAAAGCCAUU